rnacentral:rRNA from 1 species
UUUUGCAUUUUCCAAAAAGCGGAGGAAAAGAAACCAACAGGGAUUGCCCUAGUAACGGCGAGUGAAGCGGCAACAGCUCAAAUUUGAAAUCUGGCUCUUUCAGAGUCCGAGUUGUAAUUUGCAGAGGGCGCUUUGGCUUUGGCAGCGGUCCAAGUUCCUUGGAACAGGACGUCACAGAGGGUGAGAAUCCCGUACGUGGUCGCUAGCUAUUGCCGUGUAAAGCCCCUUCGACGAGUCGAGUUGUUUGGGAAUGCAGCUCUAAAUGGGAGGUAAAUUUCUUCUAAAGCUAAAUAUUGGCCAGAGACCGAUAGCGCACAAGUAGAGUGAUCGAAAGAUGAAAAGCACUUUGGAAAGAGAGUCAAACAGCACGUGAAAUUGUUGAAAGGGAAGCGCUUGCAGCCAGACUUGCUUGCAGUUGCUCAUCCGGGCUUUUGCCCGGUGCACUCUUCUGCAGGCAGGCCAGCAUCAGUUUGGGCGGUGGGAUAAAGGUCUCUGUCACGUACCUUCCUUCGGGUUGGCCUUAUAGGGGAGACGCCAUACCACCAGCCUGGACUGAGGUCCGCGCAUCUGCUAGGAUGCUGGCGUAAUGGCUGUAAGCGGCCCGUCUUGAAACCCCGGAACCAAAA